ensembl:lncRNA
GGAGUUCCCGUCGUGGCGCAGUGGUUAACGAAUCCGACUAGGAACCAUGAGGUUGCGGGUUCGAUCCCUGCCCUUGCUCAGUGGGUUAACGAUCCGGCGUUGCCGUGAGCUGUGGUGUAGGUUGCAGACUCGGCUCGGAUCCCGCGUUGCUGUGGCUCUGGCACUGACAGUUGUAGCUCUGAUUCAACCCCUAGCCUGGGAACCUCCAUCUGCCAUGGGUGUGGCCCUAAAAAGCUAAAAAAAGAAAAAAGAAAAAAAAAACAAAAACAAGCAAACAAAAAAAAACAGUGUCUUAGAAGUUGCUAUAAGUAUAUUCAGUGAGAAAUAACUAUCAGUAUGUCUGCAUCACAUAAGCUGUGGUGACAAGGUGCAUGUCUCAACCUCAGAUACUGCCUCACAGGUAAGAAUUUAGGACUGUUAGGGACACAGAAUAUUGUAAAAUGUGUACUUUUAUUAUUAAAAUUCACUGAAGAGAGCGUGACUUUGAUUUAUUGAGUUGUCACUUUAAAACUAUUCAGCAUUCAUGUUUUAAAAUUAAAUCUCUGUUCUGUAUGCAGGGCUUCAUUGGCCAGGGCGUGAGGAGUUAAAACUCCAUUAUUAGAUUAUCAUUUUUUUUUCUGGUUCAUCCAAAGAACAUAUUCAGAUAACAAAUGGAUUUCCAUCCCCUUCAGUAUUACUUGAAUAUGAUUGUAAACCUUGUGAUAUUAUUAACUCUGCAUUAUCUUUUAUGAAUUUAAAAUUACGCUGUGGUAACUGAUGAAGAGCAUAGAAGAGCAGAGUAAAAAUAAAUAAACUUUGAAAUACAAAAGGAUUAGUGGGGAUAAUAAAUAUCCACUCAGCAUCUUAGCAUUUUUGAUCUUGGCAUUUGUUUUACCCAGUAAAUAUUUUCAUAGUACUUUAAUUUCAGUUUCUCUAUUUGAAAAAUUGUUCAGGAACAGUCUUUGUUUUCAAGAACAACAGAGAUGUUUAUAGCAUUUAAGUCAAAAGCAGAGGUCACAAAUUAAUUCUAAUCCUCUGAGCAAAGACAUCAGCCAUUGUGUAGCAUAAGGAUUUGGGCUUGUUUACACAAAAUAAUCCCAAGAAUAAUAGUUCCCCGUGCUCAACGGGAUCUCAAAGAUUAAUAUUUUUCUUUGGUUAGUGAUUAUGUAAUACAUUAAUAAACCUCUCUAAAUACUUUCUAAAAUUUUAAUUGUCUGUAGACUUUUGAAAGCUAUAUUUUGAUCAGACAUGUAAAGCAAUGAUGUAGCUCAAUUACUGUCAAAUUAAGGAUAAUUUUACAUUCUGAUUUGGAGAAAAAUGCCAUCUAUCAUCAGACUUCAAAACAGCUGAAAUACUUAGAGAAGAAAAGUAAGUGGUUAAGGACAUUAAGCUAAAAUAUUGUCCCAGUGCACUGUUGGUCAAGUCACCUCUUGCCAGGAGGCUUCCAUUACUACAUCGACCGUCCAUCUGCUGGUGGCACAGGUGCCCACAGCAGACCUCGCACCUGAACUGGAGGCUGGCACAGAGACUCACUACAAAGUCUCACAUAAAAGUCGCUUUCAAGUCUUUAGUGAAUAGUUUUUUUUUUUUUUUUUUUUUUUUAAGGGCUGCACCCGCAGCGUGUGGAGGUUCCCAAGCCGGUCGAAUUGGAGCUACAGCUGCUGGCCUGCACCACAGCCACAGCAACACCACAUCUGAGCCAUGUCUGCAACCUACACCACAGCUCAUGGCAACGUCAGAUCCUUAACCCACUGAGCGAGGCCAGAGAUUGAACCUGCAUCCUCAUGGACGCUAGUCAGAUUUUUUUCCACUGAGCUAUGACGACAACUCCUAGUGAAUAAGUUAUAGCAGGUUGAUAGUCCCAUCCAAUGACCUUUUUCUAAGAACUGGGCAGUUUGGGGCAGAACAGAUGAAGAUUCUGUAGCCUUAGAUGAGUCCCUUUGACCCCUCUUCAUAUUUAAACCAGGAGUAACAAUCCCUACUUUGUAAAAGUCGUAAAGGAUGGAAAUGAUGCAUGCACAGCAUGUGGCAGGUGGUAAAUGCUUAGGGAACUGUGGUGGUGGUGAUGGUGUUUGAUGUUCUAAUAAUAAUCAGCAGCACCUAAUUUGAGGCAUUAUGCUUGUUAAUUAUUCAGCAGCUCCAUUCAGUUUUCUGAUGUUGUCCUUGUCACUCACAGGUGCUCCAGGUAGCUGAGUGCAGGAAGUUUAAUCUUAGCCUGCUGAAUAAAUGGCUCUUCUCCGAUGCUAUGUUUCUGUCAUAUGAGAGCGUGACUUCGUGUCAUGGAGAAAAACACGCUAAAGUCACUGUGCAGCCAUUUAUAAUGGCCCGCGUUUUUAAAAAAAAUAAAAUUUGGAAACUGCUUACCUUAAUAGUGUAGACGUGACUAUGGAUAUUAAAGUACAUUUUAUAAUUUUAAAAUGAUAUAUGCAGGCUGUUUGGGGACAUGGGAAUGCAUAUUUUACAUAAUAACUGAAAAUGGUAUGUUGCAUUUCUUCACUAGUGUCAGCUUGAUAAAUGUUUCUAUAAAAUUGAAAUCAAGGAAACUUCAGAAUACAGUAAAUAGGGUUGUAAUGUUCAUUGUUUUCUUAGCUUUCCACAAAAUGGUGUAAUUUUCUAAAAAUUGUUAUGACCUAUUGUCUUAAAAAUGUAAUAACCUUCCUUUACUCAUUCUUAAGACAGCUCUUUCAGUGUUCCCAAUGAUAGGCUUGAAGGUGAACUUCUGGAAUAUAAUUAUUUUGGAAAUUAGGCCUCUUUGGUUGUUUUAUUCUUUCUGGGUUGCCAAAAUUUUGUGUAUGUACAAUAAGCCAGAGAAGGUGGGAAGUUUGAACAGAAGAUAUAUAUAUCUUCUGAGCCAUGACAGGAACGCCAGGUUCAUAUUUUUAAUUAAUCCCAUACCAAUAGAGAAAUGCAUAGGUCGACAUACCAUUCUAUAGAAAUUUACAUGGUAGUUUGGGACCUGAUGGUUUAAAAAAGCUGAAGCUUUUUUUUUUUUUUUUUUUCUUAAAUUCCCCUGAUCUAAUGACUUGGGAUACACUGUAAUCUCCAUGAAGACAGGAAGUUCUCAUAUAUGAUUUUAUAUCCUUGGCACCUAGCUCAAUAUAUGGAAUCCAGUAGGCAUUUAUUUGGCUGUAAAAAAAUAAAUAAAUAACAUAAAAUAACUAAAGGCUUUUUUAAGGACACCUGGCAGUGAUUUAUAUAAAUUAGGGCCUCUCUGUGUUCUCAUUUUUCUUUUUCCCUCUUUAUCGCAUCUAACUGGACUCUAAUAAGGCAGGGCUGUUUUACAUCAGAGAGCAGUGCCUCCAGGCACUGCGGAUGAUACUGAACUUGGGCAUGAGAUGAAGUUGGCAUUGCAGCUAUCCACCCAGAGAGCUGACAGAUUGACACAGAAAUACUUAAGAAAUAAUGCUGCAUUAAUUGAGGUUUUUAAAAUAGAGACUUUGGGGGAGUUCCCAUCAUGGCUUAGUGGUAAUGAACCUGACUAGUAUCCAUGAGGACGUGGGUUCGAUCCCUGACCUCGCUCAGUGGGUUAAGGUUCUGGUGUUGCCAUGCUCAGUGGGUUAAGGUUCCGGUGUUGCCAUGAGCUGUGGUGUAGGUCACAGGCUCGGCACGGGUCCUGUGUUGCUAUGGUUGUGGUGUAGGCCGGCAGCUGCAGCUCUGAUUCGACCCCUAGCCUGGGAACUUCCAUGUGCCAUGGGUACAGCCCUAAAAAAAUAAAUAAAUAAAAUAGAGACUUUUUAAUCUCAAAAAAGGAAUAGAAUGAGGCAAACAUCAAGUUAUAGUCCUUUAGAGAAAGAGGAAGUGGAGGAAGGCGACAGACAACUGAAAUGCAUUUUGGUACUUUUCUCUGGUGGCUGCAUUCCAGAGGAUUGAUAACUCCCAGAGGCGUGAAGCAGUGGGUUUGUGUUUCAUUCGUAAUGAGCGCGUGUUCUAUGUGUUCCCCCCACCCACUUGUCAGCAAGAGUGUGAGGCCAUGAUGGUGAAAUCAACUCACUGGCUGGUUGGCUCCGGCACCUACUUUUGUCCUUUCAUUGUCUCAUUGGGUUUCACGUUUGUCAUGUAUACGGCUGUCUCUGAGUCAUAUUUGCUUGUCUGUCUCUCUGUCUGUCUGUCUUCCUGCCUGGAAGGAAACCUGCCUUAAAUUUUAGCAAAGGUCUUUUCUACUGAUUAAUUAAUUUAUGGGCAAAGAUAGAGAAAAAGCCACAUGGGUGCCAUGCCUUUUUAUUUCAGGACUCGACAUGGACCUUCCCUCUCAUGUUUUAGGACGUUUUAUGACAAUUGCACUUACGAAGGGGCAGCCUCAGUUUAAAAUGGUGGCUUAAGGACAGCAGGGGUUACAGGGACCUCAGAUCCCUGUGAUUUUUGACAUGCGAAACUCAAAACUGAAUUUCAAAAAAGGUCUUCCCAUCACUGCUCUUGUGAAUGUUGACAUCUAAGUUGGUCUCCUCAGAUAAAUUAUGACAUUUUGAUCCAUGCAUGAGGUCGACUAAUUUAUGUGAUUAAAUUCUCAUUCAUUUGCUAGAAGAUUAAAUGCUUCAUUGAAAAAUGCCAAAGGGUAUUUUUGAUUUGGAGGCACGAUUUUAAUUGAAACACUGUCAUCCUAAUUGGAGCGUUGAGGAGUAACAAUGAAACACGGUCUUAAUUUCUAAAGUCAGUAAUUAAGCUGUAUUAAUUUUAAGGAGGCCUUCCAUAGUUUUGUCUUUACAGGAAAAGCAUUUGAAAAUAUAUUUUUGUUUUUAUCCAUGUAUAAAGUAAAAAUCAUAUGCUGAAUGUAUCAUGUACAUCUUGAUGACACCAUCCUAUGUCAGGAUGAGCCAGGGAGAGAUCAGUAAAGCAGGGACCAUCAGUAUCCCCAGCUGCAGCAUGAGGUUUGCUGCAUAAGAGGUGCUGAGUAACCAUAUAUUGAAUCUCCAAAUGACUGAUUAACUCCUGGGAGUCAGCAGUCUGGACUGUAGUACCAGGACCUCUCUAAGCCUCAGGACCUCUCUAAGCCUCAGUUUCCCCAUUUGUGAAGUGGGCAUGACAGUGUUUGCAAUGUUUGUUUGUUUGUUUUUAGGGCCACAUCUUCUGCAUAUAGAAGUUCCCAGGCUAGGGGUCAGAUCGAAACUAUAGCUACCGGCCUACACCACAGCCAUAGCGACUUGGGAUCCAAGCCGUGUCUGCAACCUACACCACAGCUCAAGGCAACACUGGAUCCCCGUCCCACUGAGCAAGGCCAGGGAUCGAACCCGCAUCCUCAUGGUUCCUAGUUGGAUUGGUUUCUGCUGUACCACAUUAGGAAUCCUGCACUGUUGUUUUAAUAGGGGACUGAGAGCGACAAAGGAAAAAUGUGUGACUCUUUGAAAACUGGAAAGGGCUUUACAUAAGCAAUCAUUUCUAGAAUUAAGCUAUGUGCUGCUUAUUGGUACUAUACACUAGUUAGUACUAGCGUCUAGUUAGCAUUCAGUAAAUGCAUAUUUAAGUUAAAAAAAGUAUUGCGUUUAAACUACCAGCUAUAAAAUAAACAAAAUACAAGGAUGUGAUAUAACCAGUGUUUUAUAACCAAUGUUUUAUAACUUUAUAUAGAGUAACUAUAACCAGUGUUUUAUAAUAACUUUAUAUAGAGUAUAAUCUAUAUAAAUAUUGAAUCACUGUUGCAUACCUGAAAUUAAUAUUGUAAGUUGACUAUUCUUCAAUUAAAAAUAAACUAAUUAAAAGGCUUGGAAACUCAAAAAAAUGUGCUAAAACUAAAAUUUAAGAGAAAUUAGUGGUGUAUCACAUUAAUUGACCUCUAAAGUCUUUUGAAAUACUUUGUUUAUCUUGACCUAAUUAUAAAUUCUUUAUGUAUUGAAUCUACUUUCAUUGUUUCAUGGGAGGGAACACUCAAAAAACAUAUACUUGGACAACUAAACCAUUAUUUCUCAGCAACAUUGCACAGUAAUAGCUUUUUAAAUACCUGUUAAGUUUUUUAUAUGUAAGAAUGAGCAAAGGAUAGUAGAACCUAUAAUGUGAAGGUUUAAGAUCUGGGUAAAUGAAAACUUGGUUUAUGAUAGAUUGCCAUCACUGCUUUAGAAAUUAGAUUCAGAUAUAUAUCACAUAAAACUCACUCUUAGAUAUGCUGGAAAUUUAAUGGCCAGGUUUUAUUGAAAUGAGAUCUUGUGGGUUUUGAUGAAGAAAAUCAAUCAGUAUAUGCCUUAUCUUUUAUUCUUUCUUCUUGCUGCUCAGUGUGCAAUUAAAUUGACUCUGCAGGAUCACAGUGUGUAGCAUAUAUUAAUUUUAUACUCGCCCUGUCUGUAUUAACUUUAUGCUAACAGUGCUGAUAAGGGACACCAAAAAUGCAUUAAUAAAGUCGUAACCAUCAGCUGAAAUCACAAGUAUUAUAGUCCUCGGUUUUGUUUUUAAUCUUCUGUCUUUAAUUAGAUGAUGUACUCAUGAUUGAACCUAUCUGAGUUUAUUUCUGCUGUACAAUGGGGCAUUUUGAUGAAGCACCGAGGAGCAAAGAUUUAUGAGACAUGACCUAAAAUUAUGUCUAGGCAGGAAGAUGGGGCACAGUCUCACAUCAGUUUUGAAAGCCUUCUAAUCAAUAUAUAUAAACUUACGUAUAUGAAUGAUGCUGGAGUCUCUGAUGAGAACCGCAAUCAUUCCCAAGUGCUGAAAAAAAAUGAAGAGAGAGGAUAAAAUAAUUGGCAGGUAGGGUUUAAAUGUCAUCAUUAUUACUCGUAAAGGCCAGGUUGGAGGGGGAGGUUUCUUUGUACGGAUAUGGAACCCCAGAGUUAAACGCAAGCCAUAGUAGCUGAGACAGGCCUGUGGGCCCAAAGGAGCAACUCAAAUUACAUCAAAGGAAAAUUUCCAGAGGGAGAGGGGAGGAGCUAAUCCCGGAGUGCUUAGUCUAGGCUUCCUGGGAAUCACCCCUUAGGUGAGUCACUCCUCCUCCCCUCCCUUCAAUGGAGUAAAUGAAGAGAUAGAACAGCCAGAAGUGUUAUUUAUCUGCUUGAACUGCCGAUCCAGGGAAAAAAGGAUUUACCCCAAUCCAAGACAGGUAAGGUUAUAUUUGAUAUUUGACAUAUUUGAUGUCACAGGAUUUGGGCAGAAAGAAAGGCAGAAGGAGAGGAAAAAACCUUACUAAGAAGACUGGUCAGGGCUUAGCGAUAAGGGGACAUUCCAGGCAAGAGGGGAUAUCUGCAAAGUCAGGGGAGGGUGAGUUUGCUUUGGAAAGGAGCUAGGCUGGCGGGUCAGGUUACAGACCUGGAAGGUCCACCCACAGGAACCAGGUCGCCCCCCUCCCUACCUCAGGACUAAGGAACAUUCAGAAAUGGGGCGCUCGAAUAUUUCUUUCUGAAUGAGGGGAAGAGGUAUUUUUGUUCUCUUUUGCCUCUAUUGCAUUCUUGCGCACUGAACUCUUGAGAAUGUUUUCAUUUAUUUGCAUGGCUCUCUCUGUAAUUUAUCUUGGCUAAUUACGUUUAACCAUAGGCUUUUAAGUAUGUAUUGAACUCGGUGACUAAUCAUCAGAUUUCCAUAGCAAAGCGUCUGUAAUUUUUUCGGAGUCGUGUGACCUACAUGAGGACGGGUUGCUGGGAGAAAUUAUUCCUGCCCUUUCCGCGAUAAAAAUCUUGCCUCUGGUUACCUUAAAAGCUACCUGUAAAAAGAUUUAGCCCUCAGAUGUUUUUAAAACUAAAGUUCAUAAUCUGUGUCAAUCAGGGUGUGUUCAGUGGAAUAGGGAGCUGGGCUCUGAUAUGUUCAAGUGCUAGCAACCCAUUGAUUUUGCAGGCUUUUUUCUUUUGGUUACGUGCUUAUAGUAUUCAUUAAUGAAAAAAAAAAAAAAAAGUCCUUAGAAAUUGGGCUUCAGGGAAUUCCUGUUGCGGUGCUGUAGAAACGAAUCCGACUAGUAUCCGUGAGGAUGCGGGUUGGAUCCCUGGCCCUGCUCAGUGGGUUAAGGAUCUGGAGUUGCCAUGAACUGUGGUGUAGGUCGCAGAGGUGGCUUGAAUCCUGCGUUCCUGUGGGUGUGGUAUAGGCUGGCAGCUGUAUCUCUGAUUUGAUCCCUAGCCUGGGAACUUCCAUGUGCCAUGGGUGUGGCCCUAAAAAG